rnacentral:rRNA from 1 species
AGAGUUUGAUCAUGGCUCAGGACGAACGCUGGCGGCGUGCCUAACACAUGCAAGUCGAGCGGUCCAGCACUCAAGCUUGCUUGGGUGCUGGGUAGCGGCGAACGGGUGAGUAACGCGUGGGUGACCUGCCCGGGAGACUGGGAUAACAGUUCGAAAGGGCUGCUAAUACCGGACGAUCCCCAGCACUCAACCGAGGGAAUUAGGCUUGGUUUUAGAGGAAGCUUUCUUGUAGGUUCAAUGAGGUUUUUUCUAUGGUACAGCCUGGUUUUUUGGGUUGAGUGCUGGGGCAAAGCGUUUAGCGCUCCUGGAUGGGCCCGCGUCCCAUUAGCUAGUUGGUGGGGUAAUGGCCUACCAAGGCGGCGAUGGGUAGCCGGUCUGAGAGGAUGGUCGGCCACACUGGGACUGAGACACGGCCCAGACUCCUACGGGAGGCAGCAGUGGGGAAUUUUGCGCAAUGGGGGCAACCCUGACGCAGCGACGCCGCGUGGGUGAUGAAGGCCUUCGGGUUGUAAAGCCCUGUUGGGGGGGGGAAGAUAAUGACGGUACCCCCUGAGGAAGCCCCGGCUAACUACGUGCCAGCAGCCGCGGUAAGACGUAGGGGGCGAGCGUUGUCCGGAAUUACUGGGCGUAAAGGGCGUGUAGGCGGCCUUUCAAGUCGGCUGUGAAAUACCCCGGCUCAACCGGGGGGGUGCAGUCGAAACUGGGGGGCUUGAGUGCAGGAGAGGAGGGUGGAAUUCCCGGUGGAGCGGUGAUAUGCGUAGAUAUCGGGAGGAACACCGGUGGCGAAGGCGACCUUCUGGCCUGUUACUGACGCUGAGGCGCGAAAGCCGGGGGAGCAAACAGGAUUAGUUACCCUGGUAGUCCCGGCCGUAAACGCUGGGUACUAGGUGUAGGGGGCUUUGAUGCCUUCUGUGCCGUAGUUAACGCAUUAAGUACCCCGCCUGGGGAGUACGAUCGCAAGGUUGAAACUUAAAUGAAUUGACGG